rfam:Erinaceus europaeus unplaced genomic scaffold scaffold00441, whole genome shotgun sequence
AACCGAUGUGGUUGCUGGUGUGUUCUCCUGGCCGGGCCUAAGCCACGCCAGGUGAGGGACAGACAUUCACAGCAAAUGGGACCACUCUUAUCGUUCUGUCCAUGGGCAACAUGUCUUUCCUCCCCACCAGUCCUUUGGCCUGUGGUUCCUUUGGUUGCUAGCUCCUCUCCGACUUGGAGAACUGGUAGAGCUAAUACAUGCCAUGGGCGCUGACCCCUUUCACCUGGGGAUGAGUGCAUAUAUCAGAUCAAAACCAACCAGGUCAGCUUCCUUCUCCCUGUGGGGAGGGGGAGAGGUGAGGGGGGGCCGCGUGCCUGUGGCUUUGGUGACUCUAGAUAACCUCGAUCGCAGGCACCCAGUGGCAGCGACGACCCAUUGAACGUCUGCCCUGUUACCGUGCCUAUCAUAGUGACCACAGGUGAUGGGGAAUAAGGGUUAGAAUCCAGAGAGGGAGCUACCACAUCCAAGGAAGGCAGCAGGGAUGCAAAUUACUCACUCCCAACCCCGGGAGGUAGUGACGAAAAAUAAUACAGGACUCUUUCGAGGCCCUGUAAUUGGAAUGAGUCCACUUUAAAUCCUUUAACGAGGAUCCAUUAGAGGGCAAGUCUGGUGCCAGCAGCUGCAGUAAUUCCAGCUCCUAAUAACGUAUAUUAAAGUUGCUGCAGUUAAAAAACUCAUAGUUGGCUCUUAAGAGCAAGCUGGUGGUCCACCGCAAGGUGAGCCACCACCUGUCCCUGCUCCUUGCCUCUAGGAGCCCCCUCAAUGCUCUUUUUACUUUGAAAAAAUUAGUGUUCAAAGCAGGCCCAAGCUGCCUGUGUUGAACUGGGAUGAUCAUCCAAAGAUCACCAAGAGACAGUUUUAGGUAUGCAAAUGCAAAGGAAUCUUUAAUGCUAUCUGGCUAGGGUCAGGACCAUCA